AUGGACCUUGGGCGCCUAAACUAUGGGAUCAUUACCCUCAUCCCCAAUGUCCCGGGGGCCUCCGACAUUCGCCAAUUCCGCCCGACGGUGAUCAACGUGAUCUUCGGGAUCUUGGCUAAAGGGUACGCCAAUAGGGUAACCCUUCUUGCGGACUUUGUCACCCACCCCAACCAAUCUGCCUUCAUCCAAGGUCAGUUUAUUUUGUAUGGGGUGCUGGUCUUUCAUGAGGUCCUCCACGAAGUCCGCUCCAAACACCAUCACGCGGUCUUCCUAAAGUUCGACUUCCACAAAGCCUACGACACUGUCCACUGGCCCUUCCUUCGGGAAGUUCUGCUUCGUAAGGGUUUCGACGACCGCUGGGUGACCUGCAUUAUGCAACUGGUCACCUGCGGUCAGACAACGGUCAACAUCAACGGCGAGAUCAGGCCUUACUUCCCUACCUUAUGUGGGGUUCGCCAGGGCGAUCCGUUCUCCCCGUUUCUAUUCAACAUGGUUGUCGAUGCCCUCGCGGUCAUUCUUGAUAAGGCCAAAGCUUGUGGCCAUCUCCGUGGCGUAGUCCCCCACCUUGUGGGUGGGGAGGGGUCUCCCUCCUCCAAUAUGUGGAUUACACCAUAG
rnacentral:rRNA from 1 species